UUAAACUGAAGAGUUUGAUCAUGGCUCAGAUUGAACGCUGGCGGUAUGCUUAACACAUGCAAGUCGAACGGUAGCAGGUCUUCGGAUGCUGACGAGUGGCGGACGGGUGAGUAACGCGUAGGAAUCUGCCUAUUAGUGGGGGACAACGUGUGGAAACGCACGCUAAUACCGCAUACGCCCUACGGGGGAAAGGAGGGGAUCUUCGGACCUUUCGCUAAUAGAUGAGCCUGCGUAGGAUUAGCUAGUUGGUAGGGUAAAGGCCUACCAAGGCGACGAUCCUUAGCUGUUCUGAGAGGAAGAUCAGCCACACUGGGACUGAGACACGGCCCAGACUCCUACGGGAGGCAGCAGUGGGGAAUAUUGGACAAUGGGCGAAAGCCUGAUCCAGCAAUACCGCGUGUGUGAAGAAGGCCUUAGGGUUGUAAAGCACUUUCAAUUGGGAGGAAAAAACAAGGGUCAAUACCCCUUGUCUUGACAUUACCUUUAGAAGAAGCACCGGCUAACUCCGUGCCAGCAGCCGCGGUAAUACGGAGGGUGCGAGCGUUAAUCGGAAUUACUGGGCGUAAAGAGUGCGUAGGCGGCUCGUUAAGUCAGAUGUGAAAGCCCUGGGCUCAACCUGGGAACUGCAUUUGAAACUGGCGAGCUAGAGUUGAGUAGAGGUAAGUGGAAUUUCAGGUGUAGCGGUGAAAUGCGUAGAUAUCUGAAGGAACACCAGUGGCGAAGGCGACUUACUGGACUCAAACUGACGCUGAGGUACGAAAGCGUGGGUAGCAAACAGGAUUAGAUACCCUGGUAGUCCACGCCGUAAACGAUGUCAACUAGCCGUUGGUCCUAUAUACAGGAUUAGUGGCGCAGCUAACGCAUUAAGUUGACCGCCUGGGGAGUACGGCCGCAAGGUUAAAACUCAAACGAAUUGAC
rnacentral:rRNA from 1 species